AACUUUCAGCAGUGGAUGUCUAGGCUCGCACAUCGAUGAAGAACGCUGCGAACUGCGAUACGUAAUGCGAAUUGCACAAUUCAGUGAGUCAUCGAAAUUUUGAACGCAUAUUGCACUUUCGGGUUAUGCCUGGAAGUAUGCCUGUAUCAGUGUCCGUA
rnacentral:rRNA from 1 species